AUUGGCUAUGCGCUUUGGCAGUGUGGUUAGCUGGUUGUGUAGCCAAUUAUUGCCGUUGACAAUUCACAGCCACUAUCUUCACUGCCGCCGCGACAAGCUAAAG
rnacentral:pre_miRNA from 15 species